UACCUACUCUUGACAUCUACGGAAGACUGCAGAGAUGCGGUUGUGCCUUCGGGAACCGUAAGACAGGUGCUGCAUGGCUGUCGUCAGCUCGUGUUGUGAAAUGUUGGGUUAAGUCCCGCAACGAGCGCAACCCUUGCCCUUAGUUGCCAGCAUUCAGUUGGGAACUCUAAGGGGACCGCCGGUGACAAACCGGAGGAAGGUGGGGAUGACGUCAAGUCAUCAUGGCCCUUAUGACCAGGGCUACACACGUGCUACAAUGGCCGGUACAGAGGGUUGCCAACCCGC
rnacentral:rRNA from 1 species